AUGCUCGCUUCAGCAGUACAUAUACUAAAACUGGAAUGAUACAGAGGAGAUUAGCAUGGCCCCUGCGCAAGGGAAAAAAAAAUCCCAAUAAUUAUUGAUAAAAGUU
rnacentral:snRNA from 1 species